GGACUUUUGAACUCCGCCGCUCGCUGUCUGGCCCUCCCCUCUCGGCCCGGUGCACCUCUCUCCGCCCCCUCCCGGCCGGCGCGCUCGCUCGCUCUCCCGCUACCCGACGAGUCCUCAACAAGUUGGAGGAAGGCAGGAACGCAGGGGUUAAGCUCGGAAAGCCGCAAUUACCAAGAUCGUGACCCUCCCACACAGUACAGUAACUUAUAUACUUACCUGGAAGAGCCUGCUUUGCCGCUGGGCCAACACCCGUGGGGGGCGGGGAAGGGCGGGAGGGAGCGGGCGGGUUGGAGAGGGCUCCUUCAAGCUGGCUGCAGUGUGGACCGGACCGGCGCGCUCCAGGGCCUUCGGGACCCAGGUGGUCAAACCUGUCUUGACACCCGGAGGUCUGCAUGAGGGGUGGCCACUGAAGGAAGGGGUCUCAGAGGCCACAGGAGCUGAAGAGUCUGGACAGAUGAUCUCUGGAGUCCCAGGAGUCUCCUGCUGAAGAAAGAAUCUAAAGAGAUGCCUAAGUUCCAGGGAAUUUUCCUCUAAGACUAAUAACAUCAAGAUAGCUUUGAGUUUAUUUAUUUAUGUUCAUUAUUUGUUUCCACAAGAGAAAUACGUGUCAUCUUCAGAGAUCCUGGGUUAGAAUUUUUUAUUUUACUUGUGCUGGUUGAAGACAAAUCUCAAACCCUGAUGCUGUUUCUUUGUUUAUUUCAUGAAGAAUUUCAUAUGGUUCUUGACAACUGAUGCCUUCUAUAGAACCAAGAAAUAUUGUUAUACACUGUGUAUAUUAAAGAUAUCUUCCGAGUGUCAUUUCACCAAACAAAGAAAUUGAACCACCUUGCACUAUACAUUUUUGGUUAAAUAUUUAACAGCUAUUAUUUUGAAAGCCACCCAGAAUAAUACUAGCCAAGUCAAAAAAAUGUCCCACUGAAGGGCCAGUUAAAUUUUGGCUCUCAUUCUACAUUUAUACCCCAUAUUCUCCCUCUUGAAGUUCUUCUGGAAACAAAACAGAGUAUCCCUCCUCCAGCAAACCACUUGCAAAAUUCCAUGUAAGAAAAUCCUCAAGUUGAAAUUAUGAAACGUCACCAUCAGUUUCUGAGGAUUCCGGAACUGGAAUUCAACCAGAAACUUUAUAAUUUAGGGCUCGAGAGCCUAGAACAUUAACAUCUGAAUUGGAGUGGUAUUGGCUCCAAGGUUAAAAAUAGAACACCACAGUUUCAUUGCCUGUGAUUAUGACAUACUCCCCAUGAACAUUAGUAGGGCUCAAACGUGUAUUGAAGGCAGCCAAAGGGUAAAUAAAUUAACUGAAGUGACUCAGAAAGCACCGAGGGAGCAGAGAUGUGCAGCUGUAACAAGGGACUUUGUUUUGGAGAACAGCCCCACUCAGAACUCAAGGGAGAGAGCCUCAUUAGAAAACUCAAAGUACUAUAGUACUAAAAUGAGUUUCAUUUAUAAGCUUUCUCCACAGACAUGGAAAAGAAUACACGUAUUAUGACUUAAGGGGACUAGUGUUAUGUUUUGAAGGUCUGGGCACUUACCAGACAUUCAAGCCUAUGCACUUUUCCUUUUAACCCAACAGAAUACCUGGAUCAUGUGUACUAAGAAUGUCUGUUUAAAAAGAUAGACUAAAAUACGUUGAUGUAAAGACCUUGAGACUUUUGGGACUUCCCUGGCAGUCCAGUGGUUAAGGCUCCGCGCUUCCAUCGCAGGAGGCACAGGUUCGAUCCCUGGUCAGGGAAGUUACGCAUGCCGUGCGAUGUGGCCAAAAAAAAAAAAAAAAAAAAUCUUGAGACUUUCUUCAAUUCCUCUUACCAGCUUGCUUCUUGGAACAGCUUCCUAAGGCAAUGAACUACUACUGAAGCUCAUCCCUGUAGAAUAUUUUUUUCUCAGUGAUUUGCGUUUAUGACUUAACCUUGCUGCAUUUUUCUGUAUCAGGACAAGGCCUGGUUGUCCAUUGUCUUUCAUGAAGGCAUCUAUGGAAGGUUUUGAAGUCCACUAGUUAAGAGGAAAAAGUGCUUUUGUGUUUGAUCAGUACGUAGGC